UACGGGGGGGGCAAGCGUUGUUCGGAAUUACUGGGCGUAAAGGGCUCGUAGGCGGCCAACUAAGUCGGAUGUGAAAUCCCCAGGCUCAACCUGGGAACUGCAUCCGAUACUGGAUGGCUUGAAUUCGGGAGAGGGAUGCAGAAUUCCAGGUGUAGCGGUGAAAUGCGCAGAUAUCGGGAAGAACACCCGUGGCUAAGGCGGCUCUCUAGUACGGUACUGACGCUGAGACGCGAAAGCGUGGGGAGCGAACAGG
rnacentral:rRNA from 1 species